UUAAGUUGCAGGGUAUAGACCCGAAACCCGGUGAUCUAGCCAUGGGCAGGUUGAAGGUUGGGUAACACUAACUGGAGGACCGAACCGACUAAUGUUGAAAAAUUAGCGGAUGACUUGUGGCUGGGGGUGAAAGGCCAAUCAAACCGGGAGAUAGCUGGUUCUCCCCGAAAGCUAUUUAGGUAGCGCCUCGUGAAUUCAUCUCCGGGGGUAGAGCACUGUUUCGGCAAGGGGGUCAUCCCGACUUACCAACCCGAUGCAAACUGCGAAUACCGGAGAAUGUUAUCACGGGAGACACACGGCGGGUGCUAACGUCCGUCGUGAAGAGGGAAACAACCCAGACCGCCAGCUAAGGUCCCAAAGUCAUGGUUAAGUGGGAAACGAUGUGGGAAGGCCCAGACAGCCAGGAUGUUGGCUUAGAAGCAGCCAUCAUUUAAAGAAAGCGUAAUAGCUCACUGGUCGAGUCGGCCUGCGCGGAAGAUGUAACGGGGCUAAACCAUG
rnacentral:rRNA from 1 species